CCAACUGCUGUCGUUGAUCCUAGAUUAAGGGUCAUUGGUAUUUCAAACUUACGAGUAGUGGAUGCGUCCAUCAUGCCCGAAAUUGUAUCGGCGCACACAAACAUACCGGUUUAUAUGAUUGCCGAGAAAGCAGCAGAUAUG